AUUAUUUUUAAUGCAUUAUUUAUUCAAAAAUAUUUGAUUAUUUAUUUUACAAUAGUACCCUAGUAAUUGUGAGGAUUUUAGGGGUUUUUGAUUGGGAAUUUAAGGGGGUACAUUUUUGAAAGUUGGCAACAAACAAUACUCCAUCAGCUUCUUUUUGUUGCUUCACGCGCCGUUUGAGGACGUACUUGGUACGAUUGCUAGUGAAGAGUCAUAAUUAAAGAUGGGUCACGCUAACAUUUGGUACUCCCACCCCCGUAGAUACGGUCAAGGAUCUCGUUCAUGCCGCGCCUGCUCCAACAGACACGGUCUCAUUCGCAAAUAUGGUCUAAAUAUUUGCAGACAGUGCUUCAGAGAGUACGCACAUGAUAUCGGUUUCAAAAAACUCGACUAAGAUGUGUUGGAGUUUUAGGUUAAUAAAAAUUUAAUAACCCAAGAUUUGUUUUUUUCUUAACCGACUUCCAAAAAAGGAGGAGGUUCUCAAUUCGACUGUACUUUUUUUAUGUAUGUUACAUCAGAACUUUUGACCGGGUGGACUGAUUUCAACAAAUUUUUUUUAAUCGAAAGGUGGUGUGUGUCAAUUGGUCCCAUUUAAAUUUAUUUGAAAGAAUUUAGUCACCCUCUCUCUUCCCGUGGGUGUCGUAAGAGGCGAC
rnacentral:misc_RNA from 1 species